rnacentral:rRNA from 1 species
UACGGGGGGAGCAAGCGUUGUUCGGAUUUACUGGGCGUAAAGGGCGCGUAGGCGGCCAGCACAAGUCAGUUGUGAAAGUCAAAGGCUCAACCGAGAAACGUCGGCUGAUACUGCCGUUCUUGAGGGAUGCAGAGGAGACUGGAAUUCCCGGUGUAGCGGUGAAAUGUGUAGAGAUCGGGAGGAACACCGGUGGCGAAGGCGGGUCUCUGGGCAUUUCCUGACGCUGAGGCGCGAAAGCGUGGGGAGCAAACGGG